GAUGAAGAACGUAGCGAAAUGCGAUAAGUAAUGUGAAUUGCAGAAUUCAGUGAAUCAUCGAAUCUUUGAACGCACAUUGCGCCCGCGAGUAUUCUCGCGGGCAUGCCUGUCCGAGCGUCAUUUCAUCCCUCAGGGCCCGCCUGCUUGCAGGCGCGGCGCUGGUGUUGGGGAUCGGCUACCCUGCCGUCCCCCAAAUACAGUGGCGGUCUCGCUGCAGCCUCCCCUGCGUAGUAGCAACACUCGCAUGCGGAGCGCGGCGCGGCCACGCCGUAAAACCCCCGACUUUCUGAACGUUGACCUCGGAUCAGGUAGGAAUACCCGCUGAACUUAAGCAUAUCAAUAAGCGGAGGA
rnacentral:misc_RNA from 1 species